rnacentral:rRNA from 1 species
AGCGAACGCUGGCGGCAGGCCUAACACAUGCAAGUCGAACGGAACCUUCGGGCUUAGUGGCGGACGGGUGAGUAACACGUGGGAACGUGCCCUUUGGUUCGGUACAACUCAGGGAAACUUGAGCUAAUACCGGAUGUGCCCUUCGGGGGAAAGAUUUAUCGCCAUUGGAGCGGCCCGCGUCUGAUUAGCUAGUUGGUGAGGUAACGGCCCACCAAGGCGACGAUCAGUAGCUGGUCUGAGAGGAUGAUCAGCCACACUGGGACUGAGACACGGCCCAGACUCCUACGGGAGGCAGCAGUGGGGAAUCUUGCGCAAUGGGCGAAAGCCUGACGCAGCCAUGCCGCGUGAAUGAUGAAGGUCUUAGGAUUGUAAAAUUCUUUCAGCGGGGACGAUACUGACGGUACCCGCAGAAGAAGCGCCGGCUAACUUCGUG